GCUUCGGUGGCUAAAUGGUUAACGCGUAUCUGGGUUAUUUCCUCCUAUUUCAACUCUCCGGAUAUGACUGAGGGUUCGAAUCCCUCCCGAUGCU